AUUGAACGCUGGCGGCAUGCCUAACACAUGCAAGUCGAACGAGUGGCGGACGGGUGAGUAAUGUCUGGGAUACUGCCUGAUGGAGGGGGAUAACUACUAGAAACGGUAGCUAAUACCGCAUACCAUCGGAUGUGCCCAGAUGGGAUUAGCUAGUAGGUAGGGUAAAGGUUCACCUAGUCGACGAUCGCUAGCUGGCCUGAGAGGAUGACCGGCCAGACUGGAGAUGAGAAACGGUCCAGACUGCUACGGGAGGCAGCGGUGGGGAAUAUUGCGCAAUGGGCGCGAGCCUGAUGCAGCCAUGCCGCGUGUAUGAAGAAGGCCUUCGGGUUGUAGAGUACUUUCAGCGGGGAAGCGUUACCCGCAGAGGAAGCACCGGCUAACUCCGUGCCAGCAGCCGCGGUAAUAC
rnacentral:rRNA from 1 species